CAGGAUGGCGCACGGUUCUGCCGUCGCGCUCCCUUGGUCUCCCUCCGCGCUCCAUCCGUCCUCCACGCUCGAUCCCCGAUUCCCGCGGCUUCCAUCCUCGAACCCCUGCAGCGGCUCCCAUCCUCGAAUCCCGCCCGCGGAUCAAGCAGUCGCGGUUCCUUCCAUCCUCGAAUCGAGCAGCUCCAUCCUCGAACCCCCGGCAGCGGCUUCCAUCCUCGAGCCCCCGCAGCGGCUCCCAUCCUCAAAUCCCACCUGCGGAUCAAGUGGCGGAGGUUGCUUCCAUCCUCCUCCCCCUCUUGAUCCGCGAUUACCUGGAAUCGAGGCCGCAAUUUGGAAGGUGCCGCAGAUGCUGUUGAUUUCUUGAUUUCUUGCCGUGGAUCCCCCACCCUCCUCCCCACCGCCCGUCAUGGAAGGUGCUGCUCUUGAUUUCUUGCCGCGGAUGGAAGGUGCCACAGAUCCCCCACCCUUUCUUGCCGCGGAUCCCCCCACCCUCCUCCCCACCACUCGUCUUGGAAGGUGCCGCAACAUGGAGGCAGCCGGAUGGCGGCGGCGGGCGGGCUAUGGCAGCGGGAGCUAAAGCUGGGCGGCGAGCUGAAGCUGGUGGUCGACCCACACAGGGGCGGGGGCGCGGACGCUGGGGCAGGCGUGCCACCGGUACCGAGACGAGCUGGAGUGAUACAUGAACUACACGAUGGGAGGGGAGUGCCCCUCCGACGAGGCGUCGGCGCAGCGGCUGAUGCUCAAGGGGUGUCUUCGGCGUCGCCGCCAGGAAUCAGAUCGCCAUGAAUCCCAUCAACACUGUCUUCGGUGUUGCAUAUUGGUGACACAGAUCAAAAGCUGCAGAGAUGAUACGUCUGAAUUGAUGUCAAACCUGAUGGUUCCAGGAGAGUUAAGGACAGAGCUGAACUAAAGGACCUUACACAGUGGCAUCGACCAGAUGGUACUCUCUCAGUGUCCAGUAGUGUUCACCAUUUCGCUUGGGAAACAUCGGUUUCAGAAGAAUGAACCUGUUUUCCAUAUUCAGGCAGUGGUUCAUCAGACGAAAGCCUCCCCUACCGAUCACAACUCAUGGUUGUAUCAUGGUAUCACCAGAUCAAGCAACAAAAAUAUACAAGGCCAUGAAGGACAAGGGCCUUCCCGUUGAUUUGGUUGAGUGUGAAGGGGAACGACAUGGUUUCCUCAAGGCUCAGUGAUCCCUCCGUCGCCCUCAACUUCUCGCUCAAGGUUCAUUCCCUUCCCCAAUCCACCCCACCCCCUUGCCGUCCUUUUAUCUAUUCGCUUUACACCAGCGUUUCCUUGAGAUGGUAUAGAGGGCACUGCAUCAGAUGCAAAUAUUAUUAGGUUCGUGGUUCAACUCCUUGUUUCGUAAAUGAGCUUGGUUUAGGACUGAGCAGGAGUCCUCCUACAAGGGACAUGGAGAGAAGAUUUACUAGACCCAUGUGAGUAAAUUGGGGGUUUAUAGCAUUGUGCUUACUCUUAGUGGUGGCUGAUUAAGAAUGCAAGUGGGUUCGAGCAGCCUGCUUAAAAUGGCCUAUUUGCUGGUUUGGACUACAUUUGCAUCCCUACAUGUUGAUUGAUGCUAUCAGGGGGUGCAUUACCUUACUAAUUUUGAAGUUAUGAACAUAUAAAUCUUUACACUAAAGAUCAUCUUGCAAAUUCAAGGAACAUCUUUCAGGGCAUAAGACUUUAGGGAAUGUAAACCUUUGAUAGUGGUCUAUUUGCUCUUGAACCAUGGCUAUUCAGUGUAAUCCGUAAAUGUCAUAUAUUGUACUCCCUCCAUUUGCAACACAAGUUCAAAUUUUAAAAAUGAUAAUUCAAUGCACGAACUUCUUUAGAUAGCUUCAUCGGUCACAUAUGAUAAAUAUGAAUAAAAGGUGCUCAUGCAUGAGGUUACCUUUCUCUAAAUGAGGCAAGUUGGGACCAUUAGUAAAUAGAGGGUCAAAACCUCCUUUGCAUGAUUUUACCUCUGUUCAAAUACACUUGUCAUUUCUAGAUGAAGGGAGCAAUUACUCAAAAGGAUUUUUUUCUCCAGAAUCAUAGCAAACAAUUGUAGCUAUCACAAAAAGAAACAGAAAUACUCGCAUAUUCUCCAAGGUAACGGGAUCUAUAGUACUUGGCAAAUUUUUGACAGCCACCGGCUUCGUUCUCUCUAGCAUUCAAACACAUGUAUUCUGUGAGAGUUGCAAUAAUUGGUAAGGAAAAGGUGGUGUUGGUAAAAAAAGAUGAUGUAUGAUGUAUCAAUAAUCUGACUGCUAGCUCCACAAUAUGGACGCCACAUAGUUUAUUAUGUCCUCACUCUCUGUCUAAAUUUGGACAAAAACUCACAUUAAAUUGAAAACCAUCAUGUCCAGUGUUAUGUUGUUAUGUAAUUUCCUGCCAUCAAGCUCUGAAAUAUAAUCAAAUAACAUUCAUGGAGCUUUUCGAUCAUCAAACCAUGUUUGUAAACAAGAACUCCAGUCUUGUGCCUCGCAUUUUAUAUUAUUUUUAACUGCUAAUGUGGUCCUCUUACUAAUGCUUACAGUUUUUAAGUAGACAAGCAUAGUUAUGGUCAAAACUAUUAAAUAGACAAGCCAACCACUUAUUUGCAAUUGAUAUUUGAUAUUUAAACUUAAAACUUUAGUAGUGUUACCAAUGCUGGAUAGUGUGUGUUUGGUUUAGGAUCACAUGUGUCUAGAUAGAAGCUGUUUGAGGUUUUGGGCUAUAAUUUUCUGAAUUGACGCUUUGGAUUUUUUUCCCAUAUUCUUUUACAUAUGUGAUUGAUUUAAUUCCAUAGUAUUUUUUCUCACUUAGGAAGAUUUUAAAAAAGAGUAGAGGUCAUUUUACCUCUUGUAGUUUCACUAUUUCAGAUUCUGCUUCAAAAAACCUGACCGGUACCCUUUGGCCAAGGCAGCGCCUCUGAUGUGUGCUGGAAUCACCAUAUAUACGCCCAUGAUUCGGCACAACAUGAACCAACCAAGUAAAUCCCUUGGCGUGAUUGGACUGGGUGGAUUGGGCCACAUGGCCUUCAAAUUUGGGAAGGCAUUUGGGUUGAAGGUCACUGUUUUUAGACGAGUGAAUCGAAGAGAGUUCAAGCCAUUAAUCUCCUCGGCACAGAUAAUUUUGUCAUAUCAUCUGAUGAGAAACAGAUGGAGGCGACUUCGUACUCUACUAGGCUACUCGACUACAAUGCAGUGUGAAGGCAAGUAUCAUCAGGGAUGACAUGGUCCAAACUCCCAUCUCCAUCGGGAUUGAUGGAGAACAUAGUGGUGCCUACAUUGAAGGCAUUCUCCCUGCGUGCCUAUGACCCAAAAGUCGACAUAUUUAUAACAAUAUUACAUAUUUAUAAUAAUAUUACAUACUUUCCUUGUAUGAUAUUUACAGUGAUAUUUUAUCACACGGAUUUUGCAUAUCAUAAUGAUGUUUUUUUGUUCUGUAUCUAUGUUUUAUAUUAAUUUUU